rnacentral:snoRNA from 1 species
UGGUCUGUGAUGAGUAGCCCACUGCGCAAUCCGAGUUCUUUGGAACUUCAUGAUGGAAUCUGUGCUAGCAAAGGCUUCUGAGACCA